UACGAAGGGGCUAGCGUUGUUCGGAGUUACUGGGCGUAAAGGGCGCGUAGGCGGCCCUCCAAGUCGGGCGUGAAAGCCCACGGCUCAACCGUGGAAUUGCGCUCGAGACUGAAGGGCUCGAGGACGGGAGAGGAUGGUGGAAUUCCUAGUGUAGAGGUGGAAUUCGUAGAUAUUAGGAAGAACACCGGUGGCGAAGGCGGGUCACUGGCCGUAACUGACGCUGAGGAGCGAAAGCAUGGAGAGCGAACAGG
rnacentral:rRNA from 1 species